UGCAAUUGCAUCACAAUCAUUGUUCGAUUAGGUAUUUAAGAGUUUGUACGGGCUAUUUUGUUUAGUAGCGUAGGACGUUGAUGUUAAUUGUGUAUUAAGCAAUAUAUCUUCAAACUGUGUUUGAGUAACUGUAACUACGAGAAUGAAAAUAUUUGGAAUAAUCUUUUUGUUCUUGCUUUCAGUCACAUCUACGAAAGCUCAGGAAACUAUAGCUACCGAUAUUAAUAUAGAUGCUGCUAAUGAAACAACAAAUGCUUCUUCUUCGCAACCAUCACCUGUAACUGUCACUCCAUCUAGUAGUACCAUAGUCAAUCCUACAACACUUACUAAAAUUACCAGUGAGUCUUCUACUCAACCAUCAACUGUUCUGCACAAGUGGUUGGUGGAAGAUGGAAAUAAAACUUGUAUUAUCAUGACCAUGAAUGCCACUUUUAGCAUCAAGUACAAUAAGACAGGUAACAAAGUUGGAACUGGCAAGAUAAAUGUGCCUCAAACAGCAACAGUUGACCAGAGUCGGAGUACAUGCGGCUUAAAUAAUCGCACUCAGGUUAUUAGGCUGGUAUUUAACACAAGUUCCUUGAUGAUGAUAUUUACCAAAAGUAAUACAAACAUCUCGGUGACUGAGAUACAGUUGAACUAUACUAUGGAUAAUUCUACUUUUCCUAAUGCUAUUGAAAUAGGUAAGAACAGUAGUGUUUUGGUCAAAGGAUGGUUUUUUGCAGUAGAUCUAGACAAGCACUAUCGUUGUAAGAUAGCUGCCGACAUCAAUUUUAAUGCUAAUGUGACCAUGGAAGUAUCCAAUGUUGAGAUUGAAGCAUUCAGGACAGAUAACAGCACUGAUUUCAAAAACACUGUGUGGGAAUGUGCAGCUGAUGAUAAAGUCAGUGAUAUUGUCCCUAUUGCUGUUGGCUGUGCUCUGGCUGGACUAGUUAUUAUUGUUCUCAUUGCCUACUUGGUUGGACGUCGCCGCAGCCGUAAGAAGGAAUACCAGUCUAUGUAAACAACGUGUAAUAGAUUUUUACUUUGCAACUGUAUCUCCAGGAAUAUACAUUUGAAAAUAUACUUUUAUUAUUACCCAAAUAUGUUUAAUUCAAAAAUCCAACCUAAUUUGUUAUGGCUGGAUUAUAAGAAACUUAAGAAAAACACCACAGUGAGAACCUGCAUUUUGUUCCUGUAUACAAUCAUAUACACAUUUUAAUUAUGAUUCUCCUAUGUAAAAAUA
rnacentral:misc_RNA from 1 species